rnacentral:misc_RNA from 1 species
GGAAAACAAAGCGAUCGGUGAGAGCCGGUCGCCGCGCCGCUAACUUUUCGUGCGCAUGAAUUUGUGGAGGGGCUGAAGGCUGGCCAAGCGUUGACGCUGCUUACUUUGCAGAACUCGCUUGCGCGGGCCUCCCAUUAGGACCCACCCCCCAAAACAGUCCAAAAUUUAACGGUUGAAACUGUGUAUAUUUUCACUUGCGCAUUUUAUCGAGCAG